rnacentral:rRNA from 1 species
GACGAACGCUGGCGGCGUGCUUAACACAUGCAAGUCGAACGAAGUGGCGAACGGGUGAGUAACGCGUAAUCAACCUGCCCUUCAGAGGAGGAUAACAGUUGGAAACGACUGCUAAUAACGCAUACUGAAGGAGGGGAUUGCGUAUGAUUAGCUAGUUGGAGGGGUACCGGCCCACCAAGGCGAGGAUCAGUAGCCGGGCUGAGAGGAUGAACGGCCAAAUUGGGACUGAGACACGGCCCAGAAUCCUACGGGAGGCAGCAGUGGGGAAUCUUCCGAAAUGGACGAAAGUCGGACGGAGCAACGCCGCGUGAGUGAUGACGGCCUUCGGGUUGUAAAGCUCUGUUAAUCGGGACGCGGUACCGGAAUAGAAAGCCACGGCUAACUACGUGCCAGCAGCCGCGGUAAUAC